rnacentral:rRNA from 1 species
UACGAAGGGGGCUAGCGUUGCUCGGAAUCACUGGGCGUAAAGGGUGCGUAGGCGGGUCUUUAAGUCAGGGGUGAAAUCCUGGAGCUCAACUCCAGAACUGCCUUUGAUACUGAGGAUCUUGAGUUCGGGAGAGGUGAGUGGAACUGCGAGUGUAGAGGUGAAAUUCGUAGAUAUUCGCAAGAACACCAGUGGCGAAGGCGGCUCACUGGCCCGAUACUGACGCUGAGGCACGAAAGCGUGGGGAGCAAACAGGA